rnacentral:rRNA from 1 species
GAUGAACGCUGGCGGUAUGCUUAACACAUGCAAGUCGAACGGCCACUGCGGCGUUAGUGUCGGACGGGGUAGUAACCCGUUAGAAUCUGCCUUCAGGCCGGGGACAACGGGUAGAAAUGCCUGCCAAUACCGGGUGUACUUUCGGGUGAAAGCUUUAUUGCAUGAAAAAGAGCUCGCGUCAGAUUAGCUCUUAGGUGGUGUAAGAGACUACCUAGGCACCGAUCUGUAGAUGGUCUGAGAGGACGAUCAGCCACACUGGAACUUAGACACGGUCCAGAAUCCUGCGGGAGGGAGGCGUGCGGGAUUUUGCGCAAUGGGCGAAGGCCUGACGGAGCAAGACCGCGAGAGCGACGAAGGCGUUGGGGUAGUAAACCACUUUACUCAAGGAGGAUGAUGACGGUACUUGAAGAAGAAGCAUCGGCUAACUCCGUG